rnacentral:rRNA from 1 species
CCCAAAAUGACUCUCGGCAACGGAUAUCUCGGCUCUUGCAUCGAUGAAGAACGUAGCAAAAUGCGAUACUUGGUGUGAAUUGCAGAAUCCCGUGAACCAUCGAGUCUUUGAACGCAAGUUGCGCCCAAAGCCAUUAGGUUGAGGGCACGCCUGCCUGGGUGUCACA